CCGUUGGCGUUGCUGGUGUUGUAAAUUUUUUCCAUUUUCAUCUUCUCCUCCAGAACCACUAGGUCAAAUUCAACCAAACUUGGCACAAAGCAUCCUUAAGUGAAGGGCUUUCAAGUUUGUUCAAAUGAAGGGUCAUGCCCUAUUCAAAGGGGAGAUAAUCACAAAAAUAGGGUGGGGUCAUUUAAAAAUCUUCUUCUCAAGAACCACUGGACCAGAGGAGUUGAAAUUUAUGUGAAAGCUUUCUGACAUAAUGCAGAUUCAAGGUUGUUCCCAUCAUGGCCCCCAGGGGUAAGUUGGGGCCACAAUAGGGGAUCAAAAUUUUACAUGGGAAUACAUAGGGAAAAUCUUUAAAAAUCCUCUUCUCAAGAACCACUGGGCAAGAAGAGCUGAGAUUUACAUGAAAGUUUCCUGACACAGUGCAGAUUCAAGAUUGUUAAAAUCAUAGCCCUCAGGAGUAGGAUGGGGCCACAAUAGGGGAUCAAAGUUUUACAUGUAAAUACAUAGAGAAAAUCUUUAAAAUCUUCUUCUCAAGAACACUGGACUAGGAAAGUACAAAUUUACAUAAAAGCUUUCUGACAUAGUGCAGAUUCAAGUUUGUUAAAAUCAUGGCCCCCGGGGGUAGGAUGGGACCACAAUAGGGGAUCAAAGACGAUUAGUAAAUCACAGGGUUUAGCAAUCUUAAAUGAGUGGAUUAGUAAAUCACAUGAUUUAGCAAUCUAAAGUGAGUGGAUUAAUAAAUCACAGGGUUUAGCAAUCUUAAGUGAAUGGAUUAGCAAAUCACAGGGUUUAGCAAUAUUAACACAACUUCAAAUGAGGAAGUUAAUAGGGGUGUAACAAAAUAAGCGAAUCGAACAAUUGACUUGCGAAGAUGAAUGACUUCCUGUCAAGAGUUUUAAGCUGAGACCCUUUACAUACAAUGCAAACUUAAGGAAGUAUGUCACAGCCUGGUGAUGGCUGAUACUGCUGGAAGCAAAGCUAUACAAAUUAUGGCUUAAGAAAAACACCCUAUGUAAGCAUUUUCACAGACAUAUUAUGUACCAUUUGCAGUACUCUUGUUUAGUACUACCUGCCGAGUAAUCAUUACCAAAUAUGGAGCAUCGACAAGGUCAAAGGGUUUUUUGGCUAGAGGCUGGAGUUUUCAGAGAAUGAUUAUGAAGAAUUGCUUCCGUUUGGAUCUGAGUGUUCCCCAAACACUAUAUUUGUGUGGCCAUCUAAAGGACAUGGAGAUUUGUGGGUAUGGGAACCUACAGACAGAACACUUAAAGUCAACACAACAAUGUUUGUCCGAUGAGGAUAUGAUGAGGAUGACGAUGAUGUGACAUAUUAUAUGAGGCAUUUAUAUGAAUUUGAAUUCCUCUGCUUGUAUGUUAUUGCAUGAUCAUGGAUGACUGAUUUUUAUUAAUUCUAUAUACCGGUAGGCAGGUUUUGUUCAUUAUCUUAUUUGAGAGUACUGGUUUGGAUCACUCAGACAUUGAUUGAUUGAAUGAGAGAGAACGAGAGAGAGAGAACAAGAGAGAGAGAGAGAAAGAGAGAUCUUACAUGUCAUCAUCCAUAGGAAUCCUGUGAAUUAUUUUUAGUUUGAUGAUUACGAUGUUAUCAGAGAUGGUUGGCUGCUGACUUUCUCCUUGGUUAAUUCUUGUCAUUGAAUAUGCCAUGGCUUUGCAUUUUUUGAUAUAUGUGUCUACUCAGUGUGCAAUAUGUUUAUAGCCAUAUUUAUAUAAGUACAAUGCACAUGCAUAGAGAGGAAAGAAAACUGCUUCUGUCGCAGACAAGUAGUUUUCAUGGCCAGAAUUAUGCUGUAUACAUAAAGAUAUUCUUUUCAUGGAGGAAAAAUUGUAAAAAUGAGUCCAAUAUGUGUUGUAAUUUUUAAAAUACCAGUGUUGGUUAUUGUUACCAUUGAAGAAUUUAUUGCAGUAUAUAUUUAUGAAAUAAAUAUUAAAUUAUUGAU